UGCAAGUCGAACGGUAACAGGAAGCAGCUUGCUGCUUUGCUGACGAGUGGCGGACGGGUGAGUAAUGUCUGGGAAACUGCCUGAUGGAGGGGGAUAACUACUGGAAACGGUAGCUAAUACCGCAUAACGUCGCAAGACCAAAGAGGGGGACCUUCGGGCCUCUUGCCAUCGGAUGUGCCCAGAUGGGAUUAGCUAGUAGGUGGGGUAACGGCUCACCUAGGCGACGAUCCCUAGCUGGUCUGAGAGGAUGACCAGCCACACUGGAACUGAGACACGGUCCAGACUCCUACGGGAGGCAGCAGUGGGGAAUAUUGCACAAUGGGCGCAAGCCUGAUGCAGCCAUGCCGCGUGUAUGAAGAAGGCCUUCGGGUUGUAAAGUACUUUCAGCGGGGAGGAAGGGAGUAAAGUUAAUACCUUUGCUCAUUGACGUUACCCGCAGAAGAAGCACCGGCUAACUCCGUGCCAGCAGCCGCGGUAAUACGGAGGGUGCAAGCGUUAAUCGGAAUUACUGGGCGUAAAGCGCACGCAG
rnacentral:rRNA from 1 species